rnacentral:rRNA from 1 species
CUUUAUUCUUGGCCAUAAAAUAUCAUCCCGGGUACUACGAUCUCAUGAUUCAAACCCAAAGACCUUGGCGGUGCUUUAACCUCCCAGGGGAACCUGUCCAUUAAACCGAUAACCCACGUAUACCUGACCCCUUUUUGAAUUUUUCAGCCUGUAUAUUGCCGCCGCCAGCUUACCCUGAAAAGGAUUUUAUGGUAACCACAACGACUACCCGCCAAAACGUCAGGUCGAAAUGCAGCCAAUAAAGGGGAUGAGAUGGGUUACUUUUAUAAUAUAACAUCAUGACUACUACAUGAAAAACAGUAAUCUAGAAGGACUUGGAAGUAAGAGAAGAUCAUAUUGCCUCUCUGAAUAAGGAUAACUAAAGCGUGUACACAUCGCCCGUCGCUCUCGUCG